UUGAGUAAGAUUCAGUUACUUAACCCUUUUCUGACUCAGUUUUGUAAUCUAUUCAAAUGGUUAGGGAGGGACUAACAUUUAUCUUGCAGUUUUUAUAAAGUCUGGGUAAGAUAGAUUUAUGAAAACAUGUAAGACAGUGACUGGUACAAAAUUAAUGAUCAAUGCAUCCAAGUUUCCUUUCUCUCCUUUUCCUUUAUAAAGAACAUGUUAAAUAAUCAAUUCAAAGUGAGCAAUCUCUAUGUUUAAAAAUAUACUUAAGCUGGAUCCUUCAACAGCAUAUUUUCAAGCCAAAUGUGAGUCAAAUUAAAUUCUGGUCUUCAUGAGAUUGUGUUUUUACCACAAGAAAGGCUCUCCAACUAGGGUUGAUGGUGAUAAGAGGAAUUGGGUGUUAGAGGGCGUGGUGUACACAAAGUACCAAAGGCAUAAUCUGUCUUGUUUAAGGAAUUCUAUAGAAUUACAAAAGAGUUUAGUCAACUCCCACAGGCACAUAUGAAUCGUGAGGUUCGUAACAACGGCUGGUAAAGGAAAGGAUGCUAUGAAAACAAGAGAAACUGAAGCCUCAAUAUAAAGGAGUCUACCACCAUCUCUGGCACUACCCAGCCACAUUCACAACACGCAACCUGAGCAUGUGGGCACGCUGUACAAAGAAAGUCCAAUGGCUCCUGCACCUCACCUUUGAGGACUCACAGUUAGGUCAUCCUGUCACACACCUUUUUAUUAAAAAGGUGUGUCACACCGUAUGCAGAGACUCAUAUGCUGUAAGACAAAUCCAAGCUAGUACCUAAAUGUAUUUUCACAAUGCCAGGAGAUUUUGUUUUUGCAAGGCUUGGGGUCAAAUGGGAAAGCCAAUGGUUCCCACUCACUGUGCAAAAUGAAGAGGGAAUAGCAAUCUGAUCAAAGAAAUAGUGGCUGAGCCAUCAGGAGGCAGGGACCUGAGCCUUGCUCAGGCCACUGUGUACCUGUAGGACCUAGGACAAGUCCCCUCAAUACAGAGCUUCAAUUUCCCCACCAGAGUGCUCUAAAUAACAAUUCUGACCUGUACCUCCAAGGAAGGAGAUAAUAAACACAAAAUGCUUUGCAAUCUUCCUUAAGGCAGUGUUGCAUAUAUCCCAGUCAUUACUACCACUAAUCCGCUAAGAUGACAGUACCUUCGGGAAGGCAGUCAUCACCUGGAAGAGAGAGAGCUAUUAAUCACCUGAAAUCCCUCAACUGUGUCAAGUAAAGGGCAAGUGAAAGAUGCACGAACUACAGUCCUGGUGUCAGGAUGAUUUUGUACAAGCCUCACGCCUUCACCAUGAACACUCUGCUUCCAGAGUGUUCCAGAAAAACAUGAUUCUAGAAUCCAAGCAACCUCACUUCUAUGAGAAGAUACGGUCUUGAGGUGUGUUACCUCUCUGGAGGCUUUAAACCUCGGCAACACUGUUGUGAUCCCCACCUGAGCUGCAGGACAUGUGCAGGAUUGCGGUGUCAACGUAACCAGGAGGAGAGACGCUCAUGUUAACCGAGGAAGCCACUUCCAACCUGGGAUUACACCGUGCCUUCCUAAAUCCAGACUGUAACUUUGAUCUGAGACCUCGCCUCUAACUAAUGCGGUCACGGGCAGAUCAAAUGUUUAGAUUGAUAAAUGCGGCUUACCGGUGUGGCGUAAAGGACUCGCUCAUUGACAGAGCCCAAGAUCCAAAGUUAAAAACCACAGAUAUAAAAAACAUGUGCAAAGCAGUUAAACAUUUGAGAAAAUAUUAGCAGAAAAGGAGAAAAUUCUUCUGAGAAAAAUCUACCAUUGAUAGAACACUUUUGUGAGGUAUUUUGUAAUUCAUCUCAUAAUGAAGAAAAGUGGGCAUAGAAGGAUUAAAGGGAGGUUAAGGAAAGAGUCAAACAGCAACAACCUCCUUCCAAAUUCCACUGUGCCUCAUGAAAUCUCAAGAGAGUUUCAAAAAUCAACUAUCUGAAUGAGCCAUGAAAUGAACACUAUCACACUCAGCUAGAGAGUGUGUAAACUGAAACAACCAUUCUGGAAAACAAUUCCAGGAUUUCUCGCAGAAGCCUUGAAAAAGUUUUUAUAGUUUAACCUAGUAAGUCUAUGCCUGGGAGCCAAUUACAUAAAUAUAAGCCAAGAUCUAGAGAUACAACUUUGCAGAGAAAUAUUCAUUGCAACAGUAUGCAUUAUGCAAGAAAACAGGCUCUCGUGAGCUAUCAGGUGAAAAUUUUCUCCACUUAAAGAUGAGAAUUUGUUAAGGGGCAUUUCAGAGUUCCUGAGUCUCACCUUUAGUGAACUUCCCCCUAUUGCUCACACUUUGGAAUGGGACAGCCAGAGAGAAGAACCCUUUAUUCCUCUGUCAGCGUGAUUCAUGUUCCAACAUCUGAAAUGAAGAGGAUCCUUUCCUGACUAGAUCUCAGUAAGACAACCACGAAGGCAAACUGACAACCUGGGCUUCUGCUGUCAGAGAUUUGCACAUCAAUCAAAGAGACUCCAUAUGGCAUCUGCUUGUAGUGAUCUUGUCACUUACCAUCAACAUCACAUUAAAUCCUUGCGGUAAAAAGGGGUUCGUUUCCCCACAUUCACAAACAGAUGAUCUCUGAUUUCAUCCCCAGACGGCUCACUUUGGGAAGACAGCAUGGUGCAACAGUGUCUCCUGCUGCUGAUUAGCGUGGUGACACGUGGGCAUGGCAGGGACUUACUCCUUGGUAGUCCUCAACUUUAUUCCAGUGUAUACUUUCCCUACAUUCAAUUAAAGUAUGCUUUGCCUUUUGCAUUGCUCAUUUCAAAAUGUAAAAAUAGCAUUUGUCUCCGGUAUUAGAACUCUUCUAUUCUUUAGCAAUUUUUCACAUGCUUUUGAUCUUUCCCAUGUUCACUCCCACAUUCACGCUCAUCACUCCUGCCCUCACCUCCACAAAGCAAUACACAAUGGCUACUUAAACUUGGAGAACGGGGAUAUCAACAGAAAAAUCCGAAGUUUAGAUGCCAGAGAGAAAAUGACUGGUGUCAGGAUAUAUCCUGAUUGUUUCACAGGUUUGGCGCCACAUGCAGUGGGAAAUCACGCUGGACCUGUGCCACCACAACCCACACAAGUACUAGCUGGCUUUUUAGUAUGACCUCAGAGCCUUGAUGGAAGAAAAAUCCAUGUCUGGGAGCAAUCACACUUGAGCAUCUAUCUUCCUCGGAUGUAAUUUUGUGAAUCUGAAGUGAUAAAAAGAAGUUGUGACUUUUGACAUUACUGAAUAAAUUCUGAGGCACUGUUGGAAUCAAUCAGGUUACUUCUUUCCCUGAAAUAAAUCCAGUAU